rfam:Aquamicrobium defluvii strain W13Z1 genomic scaffold V9__scaffold_31, whole genome shotgun sequence.
UGUCAAGAGUCAGAGGCGUCGUUUUGGCGGGCAGGUUUCUUUUGCCUGAUUGAAGGUGGAAGGAAAUG